rnacentral:rRNA from 1 species
UUUUACUUCCUCUAAAUGACCAACUCUGUUUUUAAUGGAACUUCUGAGUAAAACAAACAAAUAAAUCAAAACUUUCAACAACGGAUCUCUUGGUUCUGGCAUCGAUGAAGAACGCAGCAAAAUGCGAUAAGUAAUGUGAAUUGCAGAAUUCAGUGAAUCAUCGAAUCUUUGAACGCACAUUGCGCCCGCCAGUAUUCUGGCGGGCAUGCCUGUUCGAGCGUCAUUUCAACCCUCAAGCACAGCUUGGUGUUGGGACUCGCGGUAACCCGCGUUCCCCAAAUCGAUUGGCGGUCACGUCGAGCUUCCAUAGCGUAGUAAUCAUACACCUCGUUACUGGUAAUCGUCGCGGCCACGCCGUAAAACCCCAACUUCUGAAUGUUGACCUCGGAUCAGGUAGGAAUACCCGCUGAACUUAAGCAUAUCAAUAAGCGGAGGA